rnacentral:rRNA from 1 species
GAACAUGCCUUUAGAUUGGGGACAACAGUUGGAAACGACUGCUAAUACCGAAUGUGCCUUAGGGUGAAAGAUUUAUUGUCUAGAGAUUGGCUCGCGUCAGAUUAGCUAGUUGGAGUGGUAACGGCACACCAAGGCGACGAUCUGUACUUGGUCUGAGAGGAUGACCAGGCACACUGGAACUGAGACACGGUCCAGACUCCUACGGGAGGCAGCAGUGGGGAAUUUUCCGCAAUGGGCGAAAGCCUGACGGAGCAAUACCGCGUGAGGGAGGACGGCUUUUGGGUUGUAAACCUCUUUUAUCAGGGAAGAAUCGAUGACGGUACCUGAUGAAUCAGCAUCGGCUAACUCCGUGCCAGCAGCCGCGGUAAUACGGAGGAUGCAAGCGUUAUCCGGAAUUAUUGGGCGUAAAGCGUCCGUAGGUGGUUUAUCAAGUCUGCUGUCAAAGCGUGCGGCUUAACCGCAUAAGGGCAGUGGAAACUGAUGAACUAGAGUGCGAUAGGGGUAACAGGAAUUCCCAGUGUAGCGGUGAAAUGCGUAGAUAUUGGGAAGAACACCAGCGGCGAAAGCGUGUUACUGGGUCUGCACUGACACUGAGGGACGAAAGCUAGGGGAGCGAAAGGGAUUAGAUACCCCUGUAGUCCUAGCCGUAAACGAUGACAACUAGGCGUGGUUCGUAUCGACCCGAGCCGUGCCGUAGCCAACGCGUUAAGUUGUCCGCCUGGGGAGUACGCACGCAAGUGUGAAACUCAAAGGAAUUGACGGGGGCCCGCACAAGCGGUGGAGUAUGUGGUUUAAUUCGAUGCAACGCGAAGAACCUUACCAAGGCUUGACAUCCUCGGAACCCUGAUGAAAGUUAGGGGUGCCUUCGGGAGCCGAGAGACAGGUGGUGCAUGGCUGUCGUCAGCUCGUGUCGUGAGAUGUUGGGUUAAGUCCCGCAACGAGCGCAACCCACGUUUUUAGUUGCCAGCAUUCAGUUGGGCACUCUAGAGAGACUGCCGGUGACAAACCGGAGGAAGGUGUGGAUGACGUCAAGUCAGCAUGCCCCAUACGCCUUGGGCUACACACGUACUACAAUGCGUCGGACAAAGAGCAGCCAGCCAGCGAUGGUGAGCCAAUCUCAUAAACCGGCGCUCAGUUCAGAUUGCAG